UGCUUUCGCCCCCGCGAGCAGAUCCCCAUCUUUUCCCUUCUUCUUAUCGUUUCUUGAAUUUUAGUUGUUGAUUUUUUUUAGUUCUUUUUCCUCGAGAAUCAGCGUCUUCGUCAGGGUUUUAUGGUUUCAAUCUUGAUCUCGAGUUGAGGCGGGUUUUGAUUGUUUUUGGCGAAUCCUUGAAGUGAAGUCGAAGCACCACAGAUUCUUGAUCACCCGACGCGAUCUGAUGGCGGCCGUUCGGGAAGGAUUCAACUAUUUGUAUUCUUUGGAUCAGUUUGGAUCUUUGGUUUGGUGCGUGCAGCUAUUGCCGGCUUGAAGGAGGAGUUCACAGAAGCACUGAAUAGGAAAAACUUGGUAAACAAAAAUCAUA